GCCCCCAUCGUCUAGUGGUCCAGGACUCCUGAACCUCAUUCAGGAGACAGCGGUUCGAAUCCGCUUGGGGGUA
rnacentral:tRNA from 1 species